rnacentral:rRNA from 1 species
GACGUAGGGAGCAAGCGUUGUCCGGAAUUACUGGGCGUAAAGAGCUCGUAGGCGGGAGCGUACGUCUGAAAGGAAAUCUCAGGGCUCAACUCUGGGGCUUUUUCAGAUACGGCGCUUCUUGAGUGUAACAGAGGAAAGCAGAAUUCCCGGUGUAGCGGUGAAAUGCGUAGAUAUCGAGAGGAACACCUGCGGCGAAGGCGGGUUGCUGGGCUGACACUGACGCUGAGGCGCGAAAGCUAGGGGAGCGAACGGG